rnacentral:rRNA from 1 species
GGUUCAGGAUGAACGCUAGCUACAGGCUUAACACAUGCAAGUCGAGGGGCAGCAUGGUCUUAGCUUGCUAAGACUGAUGGCGACCGGCGCACGGGUGAGUAACGCGUAUCCAACCUGGCCCUUAGUAGGGAACAGCCCGGCGAAAGUCGGAUUAAUGCCCUAUGUUUUCCAAUGAUGGCAUCUGACUUGGAACAAAGAUUCAUCGCUAAGGGAUGGGGAUGCGUCUGAUUAGCUUGUCGGCGGGGUAACGGCCCACCGAGGCGACGAUCAGUAGGGGUUCUGAGAGGAAGGUCCCCCCACAUUGGUACUGAGACACGGACCAAACUCCUACGGGAGGCAGCAGUGAGGAAUAUUGGUCAAUGGGCGUAAGCCUGAACCAGCCAAGUAGCGUGCAGGAAGACUGCCCUAUGGGUUGUAAACUGCUUUUAUGCGGGAAUAAAGUCAGGUACGCGUACCUGUUUGUAUGUACCGCAUGAAUAAGGACCGGCUAAUUCCGUGCCAGCCGCAGC